UCUUAUAUACAUGCCUACAAUGUUAAUGCAUCGGAUCCCAUCAAAACUCCAUAGUUAAGUAUGUUUGGGCUAGAGUAGUGUUGGGAUGGGUGACCUCCAGGGAAGCCCUAGUGUUUUACAUGUC
rnacentral:rRNA from 1 species